GUUAAAACCACCAUCUAGCCCCCCUCAUGCGUCCAUAAAUAUAGUAAAAAUCUUACUUGUAUUCAAGCCUGCAGCUGCUUGUUUGUCCCUGUUAACUUUUAGACCUGCCCAAUGCCUGCUGACAUCAUCAGAAGUGGUAGCCUGAUCCAAUCACAAUGCUUCCCCAUAGGAUUGGCUGAGACUUGACAAAGAGGCAGAUCAGGGGCAGAGCCAGCACAAUUCAAACACAGCCCUGGCCAAUCAGCAUCUCCUCAUAGAGAUGAAUUGAAUCAAUAAUCUCUAUGAGGAAAGUUCAGUGUCUGCUUGCAGAGGGAGGAGAUACUGAAUGUUUGGAUGCAUUUUAGGCAGCCAUGACCUAGGAAGGAUCUCUAACAGUUAUCUGAG